UACGUAGGGGGCAAGCGUUGUCCGGAUUUAUUGGGCGUAAAGAGCGUGUAGGCGGCCGCACAGGUCCGUUGUGAAAACUGGAGGCUUAACCUUCAGACGUCGAUGGAAACCGUGCGGCUAGAGUCCGGAAGAGGAGAGUGGAAUUCCUGGUGUAGCGGUGAAAUGCGCAGAUAUCAGGAAGAACACCCGUGGCGAAGGCGGCUCUCUGGGCAUUAACUGACGCUGAGGAGCGAAAGCAUGGGGAGCGAACAGG
rnacentral:rRNA from 1 species